AUCGCUUCUUGGCCUUUUGGCUAAGAUCAAGUGUAGUAUCUGUUCUUAUCAGUUCAAUAUCUGAUAUGUCCUCUAUCCGAGGACAAUAUAUUAAAUGAAAUUUUGGAGCUGGGAGUCGGAAGAGGAGCUUGCUCCAUCCACCAUCCACUCUGCACAUCGACCUGAUAUUGCAGUACCUCCGGGAAUGGAAAUAAAAAA